rnacentral:rRNA from 1 species
UCGUAUAGUGUAUAUUGGAUGAGGAGUCGGACCUGCCCGGUGAAAAUUUUUAACGGCCGCGGUACUCUGACCGUGCAAAGGUAGCAUAAUCAUUUGCCUUAUAAUUGAAGGCUAGUAUGAAUGGUUUGACAAGAAUAUAGCUGUCUCUUUAUAAUUUGAUAGAAUUUUAUUUUGAGGUGAAAAAGCCUUGAUUGAAUUAAAAGACAAGAAGACCCUAUCGAGCUUUAGAGAAGUUGAUGGAUAUAAGUUUUUACUCAAAAAGCAUGACCGUCAAAUAUUUUGGUUGGGGCGACUGAGGAACAUACAAAGCUUCCUUUUGUAAAUAUAAUUACAUACAUGUACUUGAUCCUUAGUUAACGAUUAAAGGAAUUAGUUACCGUAGGGAUAACAGCAUUAUCCUUUUUGAGAGCUCUAAUCGAAAAAAGGGUUUGUGACCUCGAUGUUGGACCAGAAUGUCCUAAAGGUGCAGAAGUCUUUAAGGGUUGGUCUGUUCGACCAUUAAAAUUCUA